AAUCUUCAGGGCAGGAUGAAAUUUCCGACCGGCGGUAAAGCCCGCGAGCCAUUAGGUUGAUUCGGUGUAACUCCGAAGCCGACAGUAUAGUCUGGAUGAAAGAAGAUG
rnacentral:ncRNA from 1 species